ACGAACGCUGGCGGCGUGCUUCACCCAUGCCAGUCGAACGGAAAGGCCCCCUUGUGGGGUACUCGAGUGGCGAACGGGUGAGUAACACGUGAGUAACCUACCCUUGACUUUGGGAUAACUUCAGGAAACUGGGGCUAAUACCGGAUAGGAGCUCCUGCUGCAUGGUGGGGGUUGGAAAGUUUCGGCGGUUGGGGAUGGACUCGCGGCUUAUCAGCUUGUUGGUGGGGUAGUGGCUCACCAAGGCUUUGACGGGUAGCCGGCCUGAGAGGGUGACCGGCCACAUUGGGACUGAGAUACGGCCCAGACUCCUACGGGAGGCAGCAGUGGGGAAUAUUGCACAAUGGGCGGAAGCCUGAUGCAGCAACGCCGCGUGCGGGAUGACGGCCUUCGGGUUGUAAACCGCUUUCGCCUGUGACGAAGCGUGAGUGACGGUAAUGGGUAAAGAAGCACCGGCUAACUACGUG
rnacentral:rRNA from 1 species